rnacentral:rRNA from 1 species
AUUGAACGCUGGCGGAAUGCUUUACACAUGCAAGUCGAACGGCAGCACGGACUUCGGUCUGGUGGCGAGUGGCGAACGGGUGAGUAAUGUAUCGGAACGUGCCCAGUCGUGGGGGAUAACGUAGUGAAAAUUACGCUAAUACCGCAUACGAUCUAUGGAUGAAAGCGGGGGAUCGCAAGACCUCGCGCGAUUGGAGCGGCCGAUAUCAGAUUAGGUAGUUGGUGGGGUAAAGGCCCACCAAGCCAACGAUCUGUAGCUGGUCUGAGAGGACGCCCAGCCAAACUGGAACUGUGACACGUUCCAGACUCCUACGGGAGGCAUCAGUGGGGAAUUUUGGACAAGUGGCGAAAGCCUGAUCCAUCCAUUCCGCGUGCAGGAUGAAGGCCCUAGGGUUGUAAACUGCUUUUGUACAGAACGAAAAGGUUUCUACUAAUACUAGGAGCUCAUGACGGUACUGUAAGAAUAAGCACCGGCUAACUACGUGCCAGCCGCCGCCGUAA